rnacentral:rRNA from 1 species
GAUGAACGCUGGCGGCGUGCCUAAUACAUGCAAGUCGAGCGAACGGACGAGUAGCUUGCUUCUCUGAUGUUAGCGGCGGACGGGCGAGUAACACGUGGGUAACCUACCUUUAAGACUGGGAUAACUUCGGGAAACCGGAGCUAAUACCGGCUAAUUUUUUUACUUGCAUGGUUCAAAAGUGAAAGACGGUCUUGCUUUCACUUAUAGAUGUAUCCGUGCUGCUUUAGCUAUUUCGUAUGGUAACGCUUUACCAUGGCAACUAUGCAUAGCCGACCUGAGCGGGUGGUAGGCCACACUAGACCGGAGACGCGAUCCAGACUCCUACGGGAGGCAACGGUAGAGUAUCUACCACAAUGGAAGGAAGCCUGACGGGACAACGCCACGUGAGGUAUGAAAUUCAUCGGAUCUGAAAACUCUGUUACUAGGGAAGAACAUAUAUGUAAGUAACUGUGCACAUCUUGACGGUACCUAAUCAGAAAGCCACGGCUAACUACGUG